rnacentral:lncRNA from 1 species
UUCAUGAGCUUACGUAGAUACACAUCACAUACUUGUCAAAUUGGGAGAUUUCAUUCAUUUUUCUCAGGCCAGAUAAUAUCCGUUCAUGGUCUUCAGACAAAUUCGUAUCCUGUGCUACUAAAUAUAAAUGUUAUUGACAAAGAGACAAUUUGAAUUGUUUCAUAUCCGAAAUACUUGACUUUAUCGUAGUGAUAUCAGCUUCCCUUUACGUAUAUGUUAUUUUUAGUGUCCAAUGAGACAUGUCUUCAGGACUACUAAACACAUGUAAUAGUUUUAUAUGUAUUCUUGGGGAACCGUGGGACUACAUGUAUUUCCACAUUUAUAGCCAAUUAUAUCAUGUAAUAGAUGACAAGUGGGUGCAGUAUGAAUUAGAUCGAUUUAUGUAUGUAAUUUCAAGGAUCUUGACAAGACACGUUUUGGAUAUAGGAUUUCAGGGGUAAAACAUGUUGCAAUGUGGAAUGUAGGGAGUAAAAGUAUGUGAAUGUAUAUGGAAGGUAAAAAAGUUGGAAGGGGACAAAAAUUAUGAAAAAAAGAAUUCGGGAAAUGAGCAUCCUCAUGUCACUACUUCUUUCAAUAACAAAGUAAAUACAUCAAAAAUACAAUGUCAAAAAGAUAAUUUUAUACUCAUAUAUUAGUUAUAUGUAUUAAACAUUAACUUUUUGGUGCAUAUGGUCUCGUUUCUUCAGUCUCUGUAAUUUCCACAGGUCUUUUCCUUGAUUUGUAUUUCUGAAUGUAUUCAUGAAAUUUGAGCAACGGUAAAAAUGCUGUUGCCUCGAAUUUGUAAACCAUUUAAUUUCACAAGUAAAAAGAAAACGUGCGUGGUGUUAUGUUUGUAUAAAAAUAAGGAGAUGUGAGAUGAUGAUUACCAAUGAGAAAAUUAUCCACCAAAAGUCAAAUGAAGUGGAUAUUAGCAGUGAUAGGCAACUGUACCAUUUUCAAAAUUGAGAAAAAAAAGCAUACCGUAUAGUUUAAAAAGCAAUUAACGAAAAAUAAAUAUGACAAUUUGGUGCAUGAAAAAUAAAUCUCAAUAUGUCUUCUGUUGAUGUUUUGUGGAUUUUGCAGUUUAUAAAUUUUUCAUUUUGUUGCAUGCUUGUUAUAUGUCUGCCUUUUGGUUUUUUUUUAUGUUUGAUCGUCUUCUUCAACCUCACCUCAUUAUGUACUUCGAUUGAGUCCAGCUAGCUAUUUCAUGUUUUGAACGUGUCUAUUUUACAGUGUGUACGUCUUUUUGCGGAGGAGUCGACUCCAGAUGGUUGCUGUUUUUUUACAAACCAUUAUUUGACUAAAGUUCCUAUUUCCUAAAGAUUUACUUGUCAAGACAAAAACCAAGUCCUUAUCUGAUGCAUUAAUCAAAAAGAAAUAUGUAUACUGAAGAAAUGUAUAUGGUGUACAAGUUUUGCUGAUUCAUCAAAAAAUAUUCCCUUUAAGCCAACUAUUUGGAAAGAUCAAUAUGAGCAUGUCCAGAUUAAUGAACAACAAUUGCGGAGUCUUCCACAUUUCAGAACAAGACUGGAUCUAUAUGUGUAUUAUAACAUUUGUCCACACUUCUAAAUUACAUAAAACCGGUGUAGUUUUUUGUAGGUUUUUUUUUAGAUUUUAAUUUCGUAUGCAGUGUUUUGUGGUCUUGUGUUUAUCUUUUCGGGUUUUUUUAUUGCUCCCAUUUUGUUGGUCUAUCUUUCCAUAUUGUCUCUUUUGUCUUUUUUGUGUUAACUCUAACAAAUAUUGUGCAUUUAACGUUAAUAUGAUUCCAACAUUGUAGUGUUGGUAAUACCUGUUUAUUUUCUGUCUUUAACAUAGUGUAAUUUAUUACACAGCCUUACCAUAGUGAGUGGGGUAUAAUUAAACGCUUCAGGUAUAAGUUUUGUUUUUAAAUGUAAUAAUAGUUAUCAAAAGU